rnacentral:rRNA from 1 species
GACGAACGCUGGCGGCGUGCUUAACACAUGCAAGUCGUACGGUAAGGCCCUUUCGGGGGUACACGAGUGGCGAACGGGUGAGUAACACGUGAGUAACCUGCCCACAACUUUGGGAUAACGCUAGGAAACUGGUGCUAAUACUGGAUAUGUGCUCCUGCUGCAUGGUGGGGGUUGGAAAGCUCCGGCGGUUGUGGAUGGACUCGCGGCCUAUCAGUUUGUUGGUGGGGUAGUGGCCUACCAAGGCGGCGACGGGUAGCCGGCCUGAGAGGGUGACCGGCCACAUUGGGACUGAGAUACGGCCCAGACUCCUACGGGAGGCAGCAGUGGGGAAUAUUGCACAAUGGGCGCAAGCCUGAUGCAGCAACGCCGCGUGCGGGAUGACGGCCUUCGGGUUGUAAACCGCUUUCAGCAGGGACGAAGCUUUUUGUGACGGUACCUGCAGAAGAAGCACCGGCUAACUACGUG